rnacentral:rRNA from 1 species
GCCCGAGUUGUAAUUUGUAGAGGAUGCUUUUGGUGAGGUGCCUUCCGAGUUCCCUGGAACGGGACGCCAUAGAGGGUGAGAGCCCCGUCUGGUUGGACACCGAUCCUCUGUAAAGCUCCUUCGAC